UACGUAGGGGGCUAGCGUUGUCCGGAAUCAUUGGGCGUAAAGCGCGCGUAGGCGGCCCAGUAAGUCCGUUGUAAAAGUCAAAGGCUCAACCUUUGAAAGCCGAUGGAUACUGCUGGGCUAGAGUCCGGAAGAGGCGAGUGGAAUUCCUGGUGUAGCGGUGGAAUGCGCAGAUAUCAGGAGGAACACCGAUAGCGAAGGCAGCUCGCUGGGACGGUACUGACGCUGAGGCG
rnacentral:rRNA from 1 species